CCCAUCCAUUCCUCAGGAAGCAUGAUGCCACCUGGCCCCUGAAGUCCUUGGGACUGGGCUUACUCUGCCCAAGUCUCAUCUGUCCUACAUACAGGUCACUGUAGGCGUCUCAGGUGUGAGUCAGGGAGGCCGCCCAAAAGCCUCCCUACUUUGAGGAAGCAAUUCAAGGCUCCGCAUGAGGAACCAGCACCAUCUGCCCCUCGUCAGGUGGGACUGCAGCUCUCUGAAAAGAUGUGAGUGGUCUUCAUCCAGAGGAAAUUCCAUCUCAUGAAACCACUUUCUACGCUCAUCCAUAAGAAGAGAGUCCUCAUCCUUCAAGUUCUAUUACGAGAUUGCAACAAUUCAGUCACAUCUUCAGGCUCCACUUCUAAUUCUAGGUCUCUUGCUAUUUCCACCACAUCUGCAGUUACUUCCUUCACUGAAGUCUUGAGUCCCUCAAAGUCAUCCAUGAGGGCUGUAAUUAACUUCUUCCAAACUCCUGUUAAUGUUGAUAUUUGACCUCCUCCCAUGAAUCAUGAAUGAUCUUAGUGGCUUCCAGAAUGGUGAAUCCUUUCCAAAAUGUUUUCAAUUUACUUUGCCUAGAUCCAUCAGAAGAAUCACUACCUAUGGCAGCUAUAGCCUUGUAAAAUGUGUUACUUAAAUAAUAAGACUUGAAAAUCAAAACUACUCCUUAAUGCCUGGGCUGCAGAAUAAAUGUUGUGUUAGCAGGCAUGAAAACAUUCAUCUCAUUGUACACCUCCAUCAGAGCUUCAGGGUGACCAGGUGCAUUGUCAAUGAGCAGUAAUAUUUUGAAAGAAAUCUUGUUUUCUGAGCAGUAAGUCCAACAGUGGGCUUAAAUAUAUAUAUUCAGUAAACCAUGCUAUAAACAGAGAUGCUGUCAUUGAGGCUUUGUUUUAUUUACAGAGCACAGGCAGAGUAAAUUUAGCAUAAUUCUUAAGGGCCUGAGGAUUUUCAGAAUGGACAAUGGCUUCCACUUAAAGUCCAGUUAGAGAGUCAGCCUGUCCUUUGAUGCUUUGAAGUCAGGCAUUGACUUCUCUCUAGCUAUGAAAGUCCUAGAUGGCAUCUCCUUCCAGUAUAAGGCUGCUUUGUCUACACUGAAAAUCUUUUUAGUGUAGCCACCUUCAUCAGUGAUCUUUGCUGGAUCUUCUGGAUACCUUGCUGCAGCUUCUCCAUCAGCACUUGCUGCUUCACCUCGCACCUUUUUGUUGUAGAGAUGGCUUCUUUCCUCAAACCUCAUGAACCAACCUCUACUUGCUUCCAACUUUUCUUCUGCAGGUUCCUCACCUCUCUCAGCCUUCUUAAAAUUGAAGAGAGUUAGGGCUUUGCUCUGGGUUAGGCUUUGACUUAAGGGAAUACUGUGUCUGGUUUGAUCUUCUGUCCAGGCCAAUAAAAUUUUCUCCAUAUCAGCAUUAAGGCUAUUUCACUUUCUUAUCAUCCAUGUGUUCACUGGAGUAGCACUUUUAAUUUUUUUCAAAAUCUUUUCCUUUGCAUUCACACCUUGGCUAACUGUUUGGUACAAGAAGCCCAGCUCUCCGCUGUCCUUCUCAGCUUUUGACAUGCCUUCUUCACUAAGCUUAGUCAUUUCUAGCUUUUGAUUGAAAGGGAGAGAUGUGAGACCUGACUUCAUUUGAACACUUAGAGGCUAUUGUAGGGUUAUUAAUUGUCCUAAUUUAGUAGUGUUGUGUCUCAAGGAAUAGGGAUGCCCAAGGAGAGGGAAAGAGAUGGGGAAUGGCUGGUCAAUGGAGCAGUCAAAACAAAUACAUUUAUUGAUUUAAGUUUUUCAUCUUAUAUGACUGUGGUUCGUCAUGCACCCCCCUAAUUACAAUAGUAACAUCACAGAUUAAUGAUCACAGAUCACCACAAUAGAUAUAAUAAUAAUAAUAAUAAAGCUUGAAAUAUGGUGAGAAUUACCAAAAUGUGACACAGAGACAGGAAGUGAGCACAUGCUGUUGAAAAAAUGGUGACCAUAGACUUGUCUGACGUGGGAUUGCUACAAACCUUCAAUUUGUAAAAAUGCUAGAGCAAAGUACAACAGAAUGAGCUCUUCCUGUGGUGCUGUGACAAAGGUGACACAGAACGCUGGAUUUGUUGGCGUCAUUGUUCAUCUAGAAACUGAAGGAGGCUGAGCAGACCUCUUGUCAGCUUUAGCUCUUGUUCAUGUGAACUGAAAUCUUCCCAGGCUCGGAAUUACUAGAAACUCUUCCCCUCCCACCACUGACUAGCUGAGGGUGCCUGUAUUUUCUGCUGCUCCAAACCUGAUGCCUGGGUCUCCUGGGAUGAAAUGGCAUCUGAGGGAUGCUGUUACCUUGCUGCAUCUCUGCUCUGGCUUGUAGGUCUCACCCCAUUUUCUGGUAAUCUCCAAUCCACAUGCCGUUCAAUUAAGACCUGACAUUCUUAUUCUAGAUCCCACUCGGGCAGUCGUCUAGACUCUUAACCCUCUGCUUCAGGAAACACCCUCCCUCUGAACAACUCUCCUCAGUUGUGGGAGAAACCACAUUUUCUCCAGUCCCUUCACCUCUGUCUGCUCAAGAAAUGUUGCAUACCUGGGGUGACUAGGCAGUUCCCUUUCUACUGUCUACACCUCACUCACCCUUCCCUAAGGGGUGGGAGGUUUUUCCGGUGGGCCAGUGGGUAGGUCCUUGGUCUACUCUCUGUUUUGAAGCCCCUGCCCACAGGGUUCAUGCACGUCCAUGCACACUUGUGCUUCUGGCACCAGCCCCUUUAGGGCCUGACUUAAAAGGUACCUUCUCAGAGAGAUCUUCCCUGGUCCCCUUACCCAAAACUCUGUUUUACCUCCAACACUGACCACGCCUUAUUCCUCUUCACUGCUUUAAUUUUCUCUUUAGCUCACAUUACUAUUAAAAAAUAUAUGUAAAACACACACACACUCUCACAAAUACUUUUUAAUAGAGAUAACUUAUUUAUCUUUUUGUUUAACUCUCCCAGUAGUGUUCUGAUGAAUGUUUUACCACUGGCUGUUCACAGCAGGGUGGGGCGGGGGCACCCUGAUGGGUAGUGUUUGCCAAUGGUGUAAACAUUCCCACCA
rnacentral:lncRNA from 10 species